CAGAAGUGCGAAUGCUGACAUGAGUAGCGAUAAAGGGGGUGAAAAGCCCCCUCGCCGAAAGCCCAAGGUUUCCUGCGCAACGUUCAUCGGCGCAGGGUGAGUCGGCCCCUAAGGUGAGGCAGAGAUGCGUAGCUGAUGGGAAAUAGGUUAAUAUUCCUAUACCUCUAUACAAUGCGAUGUGGGGACGGAGAAGGUUAGAUCAGCCGGGUGUUGGAUGUCCCGGUUCAAGCGUGUAGGCUGGUUCUUUAGGUAAAUCCGGAGAGCUAAGGCUGAGACGUGAUAAGGAGUCUACUUGUAGACGAACUGAUUGAUACCAUGCUUCCAGGAAAAUCCACUAAGCUUCAGUUGUAUAAGACCGUACCGCAAACCGACACAGGUGGGCAGGAUGAGAAUUCUAAGGCGCUUGAGAGAACUCUAGAGAAGGAACUCGGCAAAAUAACACCGUAACUUCGGGAGAAGGUGUGCCCCGGUAGUGUGAAGCGAUUUACUCGUGGAGCAUGAUGGGGUUGCAGUGAAAAGGUGGCUGCGACUGUUUAAUAAAAACAUAGCACUGUGCUAACACGAAAGUGGACGUAUACGGUGUGACGCCUGCCCGGUGCUGGAAGAUUAAAUGAUGGGGUGCAAGCUCUUGAUUGAAGUCCCAGUAAACGGCGGCCGUAACAAUAACGGUCCUAAGGUAGCG
rnacentral:rRNA from 11 species